rnacentral:rRNA from 1 species
UAGGGAAUCUUCGGCAAUGGACGAAAGUCUGACCGAGCAACGCCGCGUGAGGGAAGAAGGUUUUCGGAUCGUAAAACUCUGUUGUUAGAGAAGAACAAGGACGUUAGUAACUGAACGUCCCCUGACGGUAUCUAACCAGAAAGCCACGGCUAACUACGUGCCAGCAGCCGCGGUAAUACGUAGGUGGCAAGCGUUGUCCGGAUUUAUUGGGCGUAAAGCGAGCGCAGGCGGUCUCUUAAGUCUGAUGUGAAAGCCCCCGGCUCAACCGGGGAGGGUCAUUGGAAACUGGGAGACUUGAGUGCAGAAGAGAAGAGUGGAAUUCCAUGUGUAGCGGUGAAAUGCGUAGAUGUAUGGAGGAACACCAGUGGCGAAGGCGGCUCUCUGGUCUGUAACUGACGCUGAGGCUCGAAAGCGUGGGGAGCAAACAGG